AAAGAGUGCGUAAUAGCUCACUAGUCGAGUGACACUGCGCCGAAAAUGUACCGGGGCUAAACAUAUUACCGAAGCUGUGGAUUGUCCUUUGGACAAUGGUAGGAGAGCGUUCUAAGGGCGUUGAAGCAUGAUCGUAAGGACAUGUGGAGCGCUUAGAAGUGAGAAUGCCGGUGUGAGUAGCGAAAGACGGGUGAGAAUCCCGUCCACCGAUUGACUAAGGUUUCCAGAGGAAGGCUCGUCCGCUCUGGGUUAGUCGGGUCCUAAGCUGAGGCCGACAGGCGUAGGCGAUGGAUAACAGGUUGAUAUUCCUGUACCACCUAUAAUCGUUUUA
rnacentral:rRNA from 1 species